UACGGAGGGGGCUAGCGUUGUUCGGAAUUACUGGGCGUAAAGCGCACGUAGGCGGCUUUGUAAGUUAGAGGUGAAAGCCCGGGGCUCAACUCCGGAAUUGCCUUUAAGACUGCAUCGCUAGAAUUGUGGAGAGGUAAGUGGAAUUCCGAGUGUAGAGGUGAAAUUCGUAGAGAUCCGGAAGAACACCGGUGGCGAAGGCGGCCUGCUGGGCAGUAGCUGACGCUGAGGCGCGACAGCGUGGGGAGCAAACAGG
rnacentral:rRNA from 1 species